UCUGGCGGCAGUAGCGCGGUGGUCCCACCUGACCCCAUGCCGAACUCAGAAGUGAAACGCCGUAGCGCCGAUGGUAGUGUGGG
rnacentral:rRNA from 2 species